rnacentral:rRNA from 1 species
UACGAAGGGUGCAAGCGUUAAUCGGAAUUACUGGGCGUAAAGCGCGCGUAGGUGGUUCAGUAAGUUGGAAGUGAAAUCCCCGGGCUCAACCUGGGAACUGCUUUCAAAACUGCUGAGCUAGAGUACGGUAGAGGGUGGUGGAAUUUCCUGUGUAGCGGUGAAAUGCGUAGAUAUAGGAAGGAACACCAGUGGCGAAGGCGACCACCUGGACUGAUACUGACGCUCAGGUGCGAAAGCGUGGGGAGCAAACAGG